rnacentral:lncRNA from 1 species
AUACAAAGGCUUGGCUAAUACUGCAAAGUUUGGGAUCCACAGUCUACAAAACCCCACAUCCCCUGAGAAUUCUCUCGCCUGCCUUAGGCACUUAGGCUCCGGGAGAUUGCAAAUAACCUGCUUUCUUUCUGUUCCCGGGCUGCGUUCGGACUCCUGUCAGAUAGUAAAUCCUAAGUGGCGUCGGACCCCUGUCAGAGAGUAAAUCUCAAGUAAGGUACCUGCCAUCGGCAGAUUUGAGCUUUCUUCUUGGACACCUAAUACCCACAGUCCUCCAGGCUCCGGUAGACUGCAAAUGACCUGCUUUCUUUCUGUUCCCGGGCUGCGUUUGGACCCCUGUCGGAUAGUAAAUCCCAAGUAAGGUACCUGCCCUCGGCAGAUUUGAGCUUUCUUCUUGGACACCUAAUACCCACAGUCCCCCAGGCUCCGGUAGACUGCAAAUGACCUGCUUUCUUUCUGUUCCCGGGCUGCGUUUGGACCCCUGUCGGACAGUAAAUCCCAAGUAAGGAAUGGAACAGAUAAGAAGAUACUGAAAUUGGACGGUGCUGCCGUGCGGCUGCCGCAGGACACCUUUAAUAUCCCUGUUUCUCAGGCUGUAGAUGAAGGGGUUCAGCAUGGAGGUGAUCACCGUGUACAUCACUGAGGCCACUGCAGCCUUUCUCGGGGAAGAUGACACAUCUGAACUGAGGUACCCUCCAAAGCCUGUUCCGUAAAAUCAGCAAACAACUGACAGGAUAACUUCAGGAAGUGGGUAUUAAUUCUCACGGUAUAAGUGAAGACAUUAAGCACCAGAGUUUAAGUAGCUUGAUCCACUGAAAGAGAUUCAACUGUGUGGAACCUAUGCCGUGGAGAAUUGCUUUCUGCCAUUGUUAUCGUCCAGCAGUUGCCGAAUAGCUCUGACCUGAGCAAAGCAGUGAAACGCGGUGCUGUUGAGUGGGUUGCCACUGCACCUUUUUCAACUACUCUAGUCUUGUGGAGAAAAUACCCCUUCUAAAUUUUUUCUUCAUUGAAUACUCUCCCUCAGCUCCAGAGUACCAUAUAGAGUUUUCUUGUAUUUUAGAGUUACUGUUUUAUCAAAGUUUACCAGUCUUUUGUAUUACAUUUCUCCUGUCUAAAUCGACUGUGUGGUUUCUACUCAUUAUGGAUAUAGAUUGAUACAAACUCAAUAAAUAUUUUUGAAUGAAUAA